rnacentral:rRNA from 1 species
AGUGAACGCUGGCGGUAGGCCUAACACAUGCAAGUCGAACGGCAGCACAGUAAGAGCUUGCUCUUACGGGUGGCGAGUGGCGGACGGGUGCGGAAUACACCGGAAUCUACUUUUUCGUGGGGGCUAACGUAGGGAAACUUACGCUAAUACCGCAUACGACCUACGGGUGAAAGCAGGGGAUCUUCGGACCUUGCGCGAUUGAAUGAGCCGAUGUCGGAUUAGCUAGUUGGCGGGGUAAAGGCCCACCAAGGCGACGAUCCGUAGCUGGUCUGAGAGGAUGAUCAGCCACACUGGAACUGAGACACGGUCCAGACUCCUACGGGAGGCAGCAGUGGGGAAUAUUGGACAAUGGGCGCAAGCCUGAUCCAGCAAUACCGCGUGGGGGAAGAAGGCCUUCGGGUUGUAAAGCGCUUUUGUUGGGAAAGAAAAGCAGCAGGUUAAUACCCGGCGGUACUGACGGUACCCAAAGAAUAAGCACCGGCUAACUUCGUG